rnacentral:rRNA from 1 species
GCGGCAAAAGCUCAAAUUUGAAAUCUAGCACCUUCGGUGUUCGAGUUGUAAUUUGAAGAUGGUAACCUUGGGUUUGGCUCUUGUCUAUGUUCCUUGGAACAGGACGUCAUAGAGGGUGAGAAUCCCGUCUGAUGAGAUGCCCAUUCCUAUGUAAGGUGCUAUCGAAGAGUCGAGUUGUUUGGGAAUGCAGCUCUAAGUGGGUGGUAAAUUCCAUCUAAAGCUAAAUAUUGGCGAGAGACCGAUAGCGAACAAGUACAGUGAUGGAAAGAUGAAAAGAACUUUGAAAAGAGAGUGAAAAAGUACGUGAAAUUGUUGAAAGGGAAGGGCAUUAGAUCAGACUUGGUGUUUUACGAUUAUCUUCUCUUCUUGAGUUGUGCACUCGUAUUUCACUGGGCCAGCAUCGAUUCGGAUGGCAAGAUAAUGGCAGUUGAAUGUGGCUUCACUUCGGUGGAGUGUUAUAGCUUCUGCUGAUAUUGCCUGUCUGGAUCGAGGGCUGCGUCUUUUGACUAGGAUGCUGGCGUAAUGAUCUAAUGCCGCCCGUCUU